CCUACGGGUCGCACCAGUGGGGAAUAUUGCACAAUGGGCGCAAGCCUGAUGCAGCCAUGCCGCGUGUAUGAAGAAGGCCUUCGGGUUGUAAAGUACUUUCAGCGAGGAGGAAGGCGUUAAGGUUAAUAACCUUGGCGAUCGGCGUUACUCGCAGAAGAAGCACCGGCUAACUCCGUGCCAGCAGCCGCGGUAAUACGGAGGGUGCAAGCGUUAAUCGGAAUUACUGGGCGUAAAGCGCACGCAGGCGGUCUGUUAAGUCAGAUGUGAAAUCCCCGGGCUCAACCUGGGAACUGCAUUUGAAACUGGCAGGCUUGAGUCUUGUAGAGGGGGGUAGAAUUCUAGGUGUAGCGGUGAAAUGCGUAGAGAUCUGGAGGAAUACCGGUGGCGAAGGCGGCCCCCUGGACAAAGACUGACGCUCAGGUGCGAAAGCGUGGGGAGCAAACAGGAUUAGAUACCCUUGUAGUC
rnacentral:rRNA from 1 species